rnacentral:tRNA from 1 species
GUGGCUGUAGUUCAAUGGUAGAGCCCUGGAUUGUGGAUCCAGUCGUUGCGGGUUCGAGCCCCGUCAGCCACC